AAUUGAAGAGUUUGAUCCUGGCUCAGAUUGAACGCUGGCGGCAUGGCUAAAACAUGCAAGUCGAGCGCGAACGUCCUUCGGGACUAGUAGAGCGGCGAAAGGGCGAGGAAUACAUUCCUACGUACCCCAAGGUCGAGGAUAGCCCGAGGAAACUCGGGGUAAUACUCGAUGUGGUGCUUCGGCAUCAAAGGCUUGCUGCCUUGGGAGCGGGGAAUGCCCUAUCAGGUUGUUGGUGAGGUAACGGCUCACCAAGCCGAAGACGGGUAGCGGGUGUGAGAGCACGACCCGCCGCAUCGGGACUGAGACACUGCCCGGACUCCUACGGGAGGCUGCAGUAACGAAUCUUCCGCAAUGCACGAAAGUGUGACGGGGCAAUGCCGCGUGUGGGAUGAAGCCCUUCGGGGUGUAAACCACUGUCAGGGUUCAGGAAACAAAUGACCAGACCCAAAGGAAGGGCCGGCUAACUCUGUGCCAGCAGCCGCGGUAAUACAGAGGGCCCGAGCGUUAAUCGGAAUCACUGGGCUUAAAGCGUACGUAGGCGGACUUGUAGGCAUCUUGUGAAAUCCCUCGGCUCAACCGGGGAAUUGCAGGGUGAACCACAAGUCUUGAGGCGAGUAGAGGCGGUCGGAACGAUAGGUGGAGCGGUGAAAUGCGUAGAUAUCUAUCGGAACGCCAAAGGUGAAGACAGGCCGCUGGGCUCGUCCUGACGCUGAGGUACGAAAGCAUGGGUAGCGAACGGGAUUAGAUACCCCGGUAGUCCAUGCCGUAAACGAUGCACACUAGGUCGGGGAGGUUGACGCCCUCCCGGCCGAAGCAAAAGUGUUUAGUGUGCCGCCUGGGGAGUACGGUCGCAAGGCUAAAACUCAAAGGAAUUGACGGGGGCUCACACAAGCGGUGGAGCAUGUGGCUUAAUUCGAAGCAACGCGAAG
rnacentral:rRNA from 1 species